rnacentral:rRNA from 1 species
GCAGUAGCCGCGGGAAUACGUGGGGUGCGAGCGUUAAUCGGAAUUACUGGGCGUAAAGCGUGCGCAGGCGGUUGUGUAAGACAGGUGUGAAAUCCCCGGGCUUAACCUGGGAACUGCGCUUGUGACUGCACAGCUAGAGUAUGGCAGAGGGGGGUGGAAUUCCACGUGUAGCAGUGAAAUGCGUAGAGAUGUGGAGGAACACCGAUGGCGAAGGCAGCCCCCUGGGCCAAUACUGACGCUCAUGCACGAAAGCGUGGGGAGCAAACAGGAUUAGAUACCCCGGUAGUCCCUGUCUCUUAUAC